UAGGAAAUUAAUUCUUUUUCAAUAGUUAAUUAAUAUUAUUGUGAUAUAGAUAAAUUUUUUUUUAAAUAAUAAUAAAUUAUUUAUAGAUUGAUUUUUUGUUUAUAAUAAUUAAUUUAUACGAAAGUAUAUAUAGCAAUUAAAUUUAAUUUUAAACAAAAAUUAGUGCCAGCUGUUGCGGUUAAACUGAUUAGGGAAGUUAAUUUAAUAUUAAUAUAAUUUUUAUAUUUUGUUUAUAACUUAUUUAUACAUGAUUUAAAUUUUUUUGGUGAAAUAUUUUAUUUAAAGAUUUAUAAUUUUAUUUAUAUUUAUUAUUAAGUUUUAAGAAAAACUAGGAUUAGAUACCCUAUUAUUUGAAUUAUAUAUUUAUUUAAUUAAGAUAUUAAAUGUUUUUAUCAUUAGAUUUAAAGGAUUUGGCGGUAUUUUCAUAAUUAGAGGAACUUGUCUAGUAAAUGAUAAUCCACGAUAGGAUUUACUUAAUUAUAAAAUUUUAUGUAUUGUUGUUUAUAUAAUUAAAUUAAAAGAUUUUGAUUUAGAUAUAUAAUUAUUAUUGUAAUUCAAAUCUAAGUGUAGUUUAGUUAAGAUUUGAUGAGUUACUUUUUUUUUAUUUAAAUUUAAUUGGAUCAAUAAAUUUAAUUUUAUUGUGAAAUAGGAUUUAAUUGUAAGUUUAGAUAUAAUAAUUUUUACUGAAUUUUAUAAAAAAUAUGUACAAAUUGCCCGUCAUUCUUGUUUAUAAGAUGAGAGAAGUCGUAACAUAGUAAAUGUACUGGAAAGUGCUUUUAGAUUGAA
rnacentral:ncRNA from 1 species